AAAAUUUCUUAAUGAAUUAAAAUGUAAAUCUACUAAAUAAUACUAGAAAUCUUUUCCAUUGAUAAUGUGCAUGAAUUGCUGCAGCAAGAAAAUGAAACAGUACAACAAAUUGAAAUGCAAAUACUUGGAAGUGUUGCAACAACAUCAGACCAAUAUUUCUUCGCAAACUGCUAAUAAAACAACCGCUUCUACUAAUUAUGUUAAAAUACUUUCCACAAACAAUCCACUACAAGGUCAAUCCUAGCAACUUUCAAUGUUUUCUUCCUGCACAUAGAAAGAAAAUUUAAACGUAUUCUCGCACUAUGGAAAUGUAGAAAAAACACUUCAGAACCAUGUUCAAGGUAUCUCUAUAUUAAAUGCUGCACGUAAAGACUUUUUCAAUGAGUCUCAUAAGAAAGCCUUCAUGCAUAUCGUUGUGGUUGAAGCAUUUAUUGCAGCACAAAAUAACAAUAUCAUGGAUGAAGCAUAAGUUACCGAUAAUAAAGAAUUGAUCAAACUCUGUCUUCAAGAAACUUUUCCAAAUAAAAGACAAUGGAUCGUACUCCGGCCUUAUUAUAUCUAGCAUUUUUGAAACAUAUCCGCGCCUUCUAGACUAUCAUGAUGCUUUUCGAGCUCUGAUCGUUUUGUCUCCAUUAAAUUCUUCAAGAAAAAAUGGAGUAUAAAGAAGAAAAAAUAAUGG